GAUGCACACAAUGUUUUUGUGUGUUUUUUUUUAUUACGUCGUCAGAACUUUUAAUCACAAGAGAUUGCUGAAGACAUUUAAAUAAUAGACUGCUGUGCUUAAUCCAAAUAUAAAUUCACACAACCGAUGCGUGACUACACCUAAAGCAGUUUUCCUAUCGCCUAGUUAGUCGAUAGCCAUCAUGGGACGAAGCCGCUCACGGGACAGGUCAAGCAGCAAGAGCGCUCGGCCGAAGAAGGAGGCAAAGAAGAGGAGCAGGAGUUCAUCCAGCAGCAGGGCAAGCAGCCCCUCCCCCGACAGGAAACGACCUCAGUCCUCCAGCAAAAACCAAGAUUCCGUCGAAGGAAAGAAGAAAGUAAAAAAGAAGCAAAGGCCCUCAUCCUCGUCUUCAUCUUCCGAUUCAUCUUCCUCUACCUCGUCUUCCUCAGAGUCCAGCGAGGCCAAGUCCAGGAAGAAGGCCAAACGCACACUGAAGAAGGUCAAAGCCAAGGAAAAGAAGGAGAAAAAGAAGCAGAAGAAGAUGAGAAAGAAAAUGAAGAAACUGAGAAAGAAAGCAGUGCAGGCAGAGAAAGCAGUGCAGGCUGAGAAAGCAGUGCAGGCUGAGAAAGCAGCUGCAGAGAAAGCAGCUGCCUUGCUGAAGGCAGAGGAAGCAGGUCUGGAGACCUGGCAAAGUGAGCCGGCGGUGGAGCUGGGACCAGCAAUGACGGAUGAGCAGAAGGCUCGACUCUCCACCAAGAGGCCUAUGACCAAAGAAGAGUGGGACGCCAGACAGAGCGUCAUUCGUAGGGUCGUAGAUCCAGAGACUGGGAGGACAAGGAUUGUGAGGGGUGAUGGAGAGAUACUGGAAGAAAUUGUAAGCAAAGAGAAGCACAAAGACAUAAACAAGCAAGCAACUUCAGCCGACGGUUACUAUUUCCAGAAGAGAAUGGGACUCAAUCGCUAGAGCUCCUGAAAUGGUUUCUCUCAGGAGAGUAGGUGAAGGAGCUGGUUUGGCUGACCUAACACCAGACAGGAAUGUGGACAGUUAGGUUAACAUUCCCUCUCCGCUUCAGUGGAAGAAGAUCCCUCCCUUGCCACCAGGUUUGCCCGUAUUUUGCCGCAGCGAGGGCUCCACAAGAUGCCUGAAGAUGUACGAACUGCAUCUGGGUUAGUGAGGUAGGCCAAAGGACUGCUUCCGCCAACGCUGCGUUCAAGUUCAUCCCACACAUGCUCAAAUGGAUUGAGAUCCAGGGAUUAUGCCAGCCAAGGAAGAUGUCUGUUAAAGUUUGAGCAAAUCUGACAAUCAUGGUGGGUGCUCACAUUAUUUUAAAAAGGUGUCCCUGUCUGUCAGGGAAGGCAUUUAUCCUUGCGGGUGGACUUGAUCAGCAACUGUUUUUGGUGCGUUCAUUAAAAUCAGCCUUCCAGGGGACUCGAAGGACACAGCCUGUUGGGUGCGGUGCAAACGGGAGGGAGGUGGAUCCUAGCAAGUGUCCAACGAGUGAAGAACUACUGAAUACGAUCACGUUUGGAAAGGUGUACUGAUCACACGAGUCACGCCUUGGCUGGACACAUUGUGUAAGAGACAGUUUUAUUUUAGUUUGAAAACUGUUCUUCAUGAAGUAUUUAUAAAUGAAGAUGCCAAUCAGGUCAAACAGAUUGAACUUCAGUAUAGGGUUAGCUGAUUGAACUAGUUGUGUUAUUCAGUCACACUUCUGUGUGGAAAAGAAAACUAAUUUUGUACUAAGUAUUUAGGAGGUUAUCUACUGUAUAUGUCAACCAGUACCCUCAGUUUUAUUUAUGUAUUUAUCUAUCUUAUUUAGCUGUUAAAUUAAAAUACAACCCAUUAGUAAUAUCUGUGCGAUUACAGGCCUAUUAAAAUAUAAAGGUUUAAAAAUAUUUUGUAUUAUAAAAUCUUUUUUUUUUUUUGUUAUUUAUUCAUUUUCUUUUUUUUUUUUUUUUUUGGAAUUAAGCAGAAAAUAUCAGGAUGUAAUUCCGUGUUUUUCAUUUCAUCAUGUGGAUGUGUGUGUGACAAAGUGAGGGAGAGAUACGAUUGGCUGCCGCCCACUCCCAUCUGUACAAUUCAGACAAAUAAGCUAUGAGAAGGACUGCAUACAUCCUGGGUGUAGUUCAAGGUGGCCCAUUACUACCGAGCUCUUCUACAGCUGCACUCUGCCCCUUGCAUUGGAUAUGGCAAGCCUGAAUAAAACACAAAACUUACUACUAGACAAAUGUUAUGGCUUCAUGCUGCGUUCUGCUACCCAAGUGUCUCAAGGUAUGCAUGACAUAAAUAAGUCUCAGGCAGGGCGCACGUUUCAUGUAACUAUCAGGUCCAGAAAAGCUGCAUGGCGUUUCGAGCCAUUCCAGGUGUCUUGUAUUUAUGCUACACUGCGCUUCCACAAAACAUGCAAGAUGCUUCUAGUACAGCUCCGAAGUGUCCAAAUGUGUGCCUGCUGCACACUGGGACUCUUGAUUUCAAGCUCAUUGGAUGCAUCUUAAAACAAGACAUCCAAUACCAAGGAUGUUUAACUACUGAGGUUCAAGGGUAAAGGGUUGUCUCUUGAAUUACUGGUAUUACAUUAUUCAAAGGCCAGUUUGUGUGUAUUUGUGGGUUCAUCAAAGGGUUGCAGAACAAGUACACGUGGCUCAUUGAUUGUCAAUGCCAUGAAGUUUCUUUUAAAAUUAUCAUACAGCUGUGGAGAGUGGUCAUAAUAUUGCACCUAUGCAUUGACAGUUACAUUACUCUUGGUCCAUAAAAUAAAGUUUGAAACAGAAAAAAAAAAAAAAA